GGUAACCACAACUGCCUCUCUCUCCACGGCGCCCGUGACCUCUGCCGAUCUCUCUCGCCACGAUGGCCCAAACCCCAGCCCUAAUCGCAAUCCCGACCCAAAUCGGGCGGCCCAGUGCCGCGGCACAGCCGGCCGAUCUGCUCCUCUUGAUCGGUUCGUCGCCGCCGGAGGGCGGAAUUCCUUUGUGUUCCUUCUCUCGUUCGGUGCCUCUACCGAUCCCCCGCUGACAACGUUGUCCUCCUGCCUGUUGUUAACUUGGUGGUGCUAUAGUUCACCUCCACCUCUUUCGGUUGCGGAUUAGUUGUCGAGGCUUCAUUUUGGGUCUUUCAUAACUAUGAAAUUUUUCUGUGCAGUGAGGCUGAGGAUCUCUGGCAUCUGUAGGUUCUACUCCUCCUUGAUAAGAUAUGAGGAGGUGAUGAUAAUGAACCAGUCGACACAGAAACACCACCGCCAACUACAAGACAUAGGAGAAAGAAGUCAUCAGUUUGGGAGCAUUUUACAAUAAAAAGAAGUCUCUGGCGGAUGUUUGCGAGCUUGCUGCAAACUGUGUAAACAAACCUUUGCAUACAGUCAAAGAUAGCGGGCACUAGCCACCUCAAGAGACAUAUCGCCUUAGGUUCCUGCCCCGAAAUUAAAUAUCAGUAUAAACUGGCACUUGCAUCGGUGGCAAAAUCUGAUGGAGAUAUCCCUGAUCCACCCAAAAGACGCUAUAGGUCAUCUGGUUUUUCAAGUGUUUUUGAUCAGGACCAAAGCUGUGUGAAUCUUGCCAAGAUGAUCAUUGUGCAUGAAUAUCCACUCGACAUGGCUGAGCACCCCACCCUGCUUUUGUUGCUUUUGUUCAAAGACUCCGACCGCAGUAUAAGAUGGUAGAUGUGAGUACUAUUGAAGGAGAAGUUUUAUCUUUUAUAUCAGAAGGAAAAACAAAACCGCAUGCAAGUCUUUGUAACUAUGCCCGGAAGGAUCAGCCUAACAAUAGGUCUCCGGACAACCAGUCAGACUCUUGGAUACAUUUGCCUCAGCUGGCAAUUCAUUGACAGCGACUGGAAGUUGCAUCGAAGGAUGCUGAGCUUCAUGAUGGUACCUUCUCCUCGUUCAGAAAAUACUCUAGCAAAGCCAUUGGCGUUAGCCUUUCAGAUCGGAAUAUGAAAAGUAAGUUGCUCACGAUCACCAGGGACAAGAACUGCUCAUCACACGACAUCUAUAGUGCAAACCUGAGGGACCAUCUCUCCAACAAGAACAUGCUCAUGCUGAAAGGACAGUUGUUUGUUGUGCGGUGCUAUGCCAAUAUCCUGAAGCUUGUCGAGUUCAGUUUCUCAAAAGUUAGUUUAUGGUUGAGAGACUCUGCCAGAUAUGUAAAGUUGGUCGAUGGCAGUAUUCAUGAACUCCACCUCGAGUGUGUUGCCCAGCCACUUCCUCUGACUCCAGUUUAUGUGGACCAAGGUGAGGCCAACCACAUCAAUAGCAAUGAAAGCAAUGUGCCCACGGCAGAUGGGCUUCAAGACUUUGAUAUGUAUCUGUCUGAGUUAUCUAUGAAUCAGGCCAUCUAAGCCAGAGAGAGACCAAUAUUUAGAAGAGUCAGGUUGUGCCAUGGAUCCAAGAUUUUGAUAUCAUCUUGUAUUGGUGGAAGCUCAACCAUCUCAAGUAUCCAACGCUCUCAAAGAUGGACCGAGAUAUCAUUAGUUUCAUGGUUUUAUUUACACAUUUAAUUUUUGUUGUUUUAUCUUACACGUUGAAUUUUGUUCAUGUUUUCUUUUACUGUGGGUUUUGCCGCCUUACAUUUUUGGUUUUCGUUAAUUAUUUCAGAUAAAUGCUAGACAUAUUUGAAGUUGAUCACUUCCAAUUAUUUUGAAAGUCUGUUUUUCACUCACAAAUAUGGUUCAUUUUGUAGGUUGCGGUGUGAUCAAAGGAAAUAAUAUGAUCAUGGAGCGUAUGAUCUCUUUCUUUCUCGGGUUUUCCCCCUCCAUGUUGAAGUGAAUGGAUGCCCCGGGACUAUGUACCUACCUGCUCUCAAAAAAUGUGACCUCUUGCUAUCAGGGACUUGGCAAGUUCAUUGUAAAAGUUAUGAAACAUGAGAGGAAUCUUUGUUGCGAUUGAUUCUGCCAGCAAAAGCCGGACUGUGUACCAAUUUCUAUUGGGAGUGGCUGGGUUCGAAUGGGUAAGUGUGUGUGAUCGAUCAACAAGGUGGUGGUUACAUGAUCCUCCUGAACACCUCAUCGAAUGGUGUAUCAUCCAAGUGAGUGAACCGCUGUGAGAAAUGGGAAAGGUCUUUAUAGCACCAGUUUCCAUCCUAGAACAGCCCCAUUAGAAAUUCUAUGAUCUAUGGGUAAUCUGGUAAAUUGGAUUUGCUUCCCUUCAUUUCUCGAACAUUUUUGUGGCCCCCAGAAGAAACAGUUAGUGACUGUUAUGCUUAAUUCGAGUUACUGACUGUUGUUAUGCA